CAAAUGUUUAAAAAAAACAAAAAAAACAAACAAAAAAUAAUAAUAAUAAAUCGGUCUUCUCAAAUGUAUUCCAAACAUCAACACAAAAAACAUAAAUCAUUAGACAAGAGUUGUACAACUUCAAGACUAUAACCAUCAAGAACUGUGACAAAACAAGCAAUGCAAAUGUAUAUUUGUUUUUAUAAGCAACAGCCAAGCCCUGUGACAACAUUGAUUCACUUAUGACAAAAUGCAAAAAAACAGCACUCAAAACACUUAAUCUCAGAAAUCAGACAUUGUGACUCGCUUUUGUUUGGCAUGUCCCUCCCUGACUGUGUCUUAAUAGUGUUAACUAGCUUCCUUCCCUUGUGUCCUUUCCUCUAUGGCCACUGAUCUGGCAGGGCAUGAUAGGUGACAGCUACACGGAGGUAAACCUCUACACGGAGGUAAACCUCUACACGGAGGUAAACCUCUACACGGAGGUAAACCUCUACACGGAGGUAAACCUCUACACGGAGGUAAACCUCCACACGGAGGUAAACCUCCACACGGAGGUAAACCUCCACACGGAGGUAAACCUCCACACGGAAGUAAACCUCCACACGGAAGUAAACCUCCACACGGAGGUAAACCUCCACACGGAGGUAAACCUCCACACGGAGACGGAGGUACACCUCCACACGGAGGUACACCUCCACAUGGAGGUCACACGGAGGUACACCUCCACACAAGAGGUACACCUCCACACAAGAGGUACACCUCCACACAAGAGGUACACCUCCACACAGAGGUACACCUCCACACAGAGGUACACCACACAGAGGUACACCUCCACACAGAGGUACACCUCCAUAAUUGACUAG
rnacentral:lncRNA from 1 species